CAAAGUAUAGCACAGCAUCUGUGACAUCAUAUAGCCUGUCGCCAGGGCCCCACCCCAAUCAUCAUAUUACCUGAGUCAACUGGCACAGUUCAGCCACAGCUUAGCGGACUGUAGCAGAACUCACAGCUUCUCCCGGAGUGAAACAAAUACGACAAUGAUCGUGCUUUGAAGUCUUCACCCAUGUUCUCGAGGAGGAAUAAGGGCACAUUGCUGAAUGACACCAGAUAACUGAGAAUCUGUAUCCUAGUGGAACUGAACCUGGGUCCUCGUACUUGCUGACCACCAAUCUCAGCCCUAGAGCUGGAUUCUAAUCCCAGCUCUGCUGAGCAGAUCUUCUGGACUGAAACUCAGCCUCACACCUCCCUGGAAUGCUGCCUUCCAGAUUCUUGGACAUUCAUUCAAAAGGAACUCGAAGCCUCACUGGAUAUUUAGAUUAGACCUUUGUGAUGUGCAUCAGUGACCUGUGAUGUCUGCUUCUUCCCAAAGCAGAGGCUAGAUUUCACCCUGCUGUGCAUCCUGGAGACUCUGAGACAGACUUGUAUCUGACUUGCGCUCCAGUCAUGCACUUCGCUGCUUCUGGGAGGUGGAGCUGAAUUUAACACCUGCUCCUUUGGAGAGACUUGGAUUCACAUCCAGUGCAUCUCUACAGACUGGGCUUGAGUGAGUUUCGGACCUGUUGCUGACUCUGUGAAGAGCUUCUUGAAGCAGCUGUUUUAUCCCGUUAUUAGUUCAAGUCCCAAAGAAUAAUAGCAGGAACUGUAUUUCCGACUCCUCAGGCUGACUCACUAUGAGACUAUUUGAAACGAUGUAUCAUCAUGGUCAUCAUCAUCAUCACCAUCAGAAAGUACAAUGGCCUAUAGUCAAUCUUAUCAGACAGCAAAGUUGGGGAAGAGCAAACCCACUAUACUUUGCAAAGCUGCCCCCGGCCCCGCCCCGCCGCAACAUCCCAGUGCAUACUGACCCAUGCCACACCCUCCUUUGCAAACAGGAUAGAUAAGAUGGACAUUUCAAUUCUAUCCCCAAAGAUUGGCAUUCCCUGUGAGAUGCCAGGACCUGCAGACGUUCUAUAACCAGAAAACCCUGGUAGAGUUUCAACAUCUGUGGUAAAACAGGAGAUUGGGGAGGGCUGAAAAAAAAAGGAGGAGGUUGUGAAGAGAUUUAUUUCAUCCUUAACCAAGAAUGGCUAAGGGUCAUGCAGCCAUUUCCCACGUGAGCAUCCACCAAUAGAAAAGCAUCAAGUUCAAAGUCUCCUUUCGUUAGCUAGCGGUUAGCAUCAUCAAGGUGCGGCAACGGCAGGAAAAACCAAACUACCUGUACCAGCCAGAUCCUCUCACACAGGUAUUCAGGUUCCCAAAUAGUCCUACAUCCUAACAUCCAGUGGAGGUUCUGUCUUGGAGCAAGGGGCUUCCAGAGAGCAGUGGGGUCCCAGCCCAGUCAGCCCGAAGGGGCUCACUGCUUUGCAGGGAAAUGGUGACCUAUAUCUGUUUCUGUCCCUCAGACAUUUGCCCUCAGGGUUGACAUUUCCUGAGACAGCAGUUUGCUUAGUGUGCUAUACUCUGAAACUCAGCUUUUCCUGUCAGGAAAACUGGGUUUUACCGGAAAGCUUGGGCUUAUCAGGGGUUAGAAUCCCAGGGGCAAAGAAGACACGGGCCUUGUCGACAGUGGGCGUGGCAAGACAAUGGGCGUGGUAAGACAGUGGGCGUGGUAAGUGUGGAAGUUCCGGGGUUGAGCUUGAGCUAACACAUCCUUAUCAGCUGGCUAAUGGUGUACGUCAGCCUAAAGCCCACACUGGUGGGCUGGAAAGGUUUUCUGGGGAAGCAGCCAUGGGUUUUCAACAUCGGCAUAGGAGGUACAGCUAUUGGGCUUUGUCAUUCAUGACUGAUCCCCAAACCAACAGAGUCUUCGUUCCUCAGAACCUGUUAGAAAAGCAGAAAGCCUGUCCUCACGCCCAUCGAUUUACAAUCUGCACAUUAACAGCCCCAUUUGGGAAAUGAUUCUUAUUCAAGCAUUGGUCUAAACUGAAAGGAAGAGAGAACGAUUUUGAAUCUGGAGCACAUGAAGAAGCCUUUGAAACCUGCUCCUGUGUGGAAGACCACAGGAGUCUCAGACUGAGCAGGCAGAAUGAAGUGGGGGAGGGUGAGCCAUCUCCAUCUCCACAGGAGAGAAAUUCAGCUCCUGCCUGCCUCCACCUCAGGAAUCUUGGUGAUUGACCCAGACCGAGGGUUCCGGAAGUGGAAGUGGACAUCCCCAGGAUUUGUGUUUUGAAGUCAGAUUUUACUGCGGUGGUUUACGUGCCUGGCCCCCUGAAGUUUUUGCUCCAGUUGCUGCAGGGAACCUGGAUAGUCCUGGGCUCUGAUGCCGGUGCCCUGCAGCCACACAAACACCCCGAGGCUCCUCCUGGAGCCACAGCUUCUGGGAAAGACAUUUCGGAAGUUUCCCGUGGCUGCAACAAAUUGCUCAGGUCUGCACCACAGCAAGGCUGUGACCUGCCUUUCUCCACCUUGGCUCAGCCAGCUUCUGAAACUGGCAAAGGUCCCAUGUCCCUGCAGGCUCUGCUUCAUGGGAGUCAAAGGGGAGGACCAAGCAAGCGUUCCUGUCUGUUGAGACAUGGCACUCCUGACUAGUAGUCAGCACAGGAGCAGUGUCAGGUGCCCUGAGAGGAGGAGGGAGUUCCUGGAGGUAGACAAAUUUGGGACUGGAGGAAGUCUGUAUCUUGAAGCAAAAAGAGAGGCUGGAGUCAUGGAGAGAACCUUCAUGUGGAAGAUUCUAUCUACCCAAAGGUCACUUAAUUUCUGCCUUUUCUAACCACUGCUGUGUGACUAUAUAGCAAGGUGGGGGUGUGCCCUGAGCAGUGUUCUUGGCACUGAAACAGGAUGAUCCUACCCUCUGGAAGACAGACCCUGAGCCCACCGCACAAAGAUGCCCACCAGCAUGGGUUUCCUUACAUGCCCUUCUGUGUGGGAUUUUAUAAAUACAUUUCUGAAUUUAAUAGUUCCUUCCUGGUAAUUGGAAGGAAGACAAACCUUGACUAUCUGGCAUCUUAAGUCUGAAGUCUGUUUUAAAAUGACUCUAACGACUUACUGAAACCAAACUGGUUCCUAGAUUGAAGUCUUUGGGGGGCCUUGCUUCAACCAACAGGCCAGAGUUAUAAUUAGCACAUUAGUUCCUUGAUAGCCAAUUGAUCCUCUUAGGACAUAAACAUAAUUAAAAGCAGUUUGUUCUAAUGUCUGCUGUUUAACUGCUGCCCACUGCAUUGCGGGAUUAACCUUUUGCUUGCCAAGCAAACCCUGACGUAAUGAGUUCACAAGCUGACUUUCUGGCCAGUCUCAUUUAUACUAAAUGUAUUCUCAUAAAAUGGGUUCAGCGACUUCAAGUAUUUCCCCCACCCCCAUCCAAGUGGUCAAGAAGUUACGGCUAUUGUGUUCGCCUUCUGCGAACUUCUUCGAUGGGCUUUGGCACACAGGGGCCUCCUUGAGUCACAGUCAGCUUGUCCAGGACCAUAAAGAGAUAUAUUUUUGUUUCCUAUCCUAAACACUGUGUAACUCACUCACUCUUCAUUUUUCCAUGGAGAUUAUGGUAAGGGGGGGCGGGGCUGUGGGUCUCCAGGAGAAAGCAGCUUGUAAAACAGCCGUGGGGGGAUUCCAAAUCUGACUUAAUCAACCUUUCUCCAGAACCAUAGACCAAUAAAACUGCUUGCUUUCUUACCACA